GUUCAGAAUUUCCCGUGCAGGAUUGUCUGAUCCUGCACGGCUGUUGACCAAUCAAAUUGCGUGUUUCACUGUAGUUAUUAUAUAAUAUAUUUUACUAUCGCGCAAGCGAGUAUAAUUACAUCAUUUUCUAAUUUACUUUAAAGCGUUAAGAACUGUCAGAAAAGACAGCAAUACAAUAGCCUAUAUUAUACUCAUUUUGUAAUUUAGUUGCAUCGUUUUCAAACCGUCAUAACUGCCUAUUUUGUAAUUUACGUCGUCAAGGACAAUUAUAGGGCGGCUAGAUUAUAGAAUACCCGUCCACUUUUGUGACUAUUUUAUUUUCGUGAUACGAUGAUACGAAGUGAAAGUCAUGACGUAAUCAUUUUAGUAGCGAGUUAUUAUAAAAAGCCUAUAAGAUGAUACGAAGUGAAAAUAAUGACGUCAUUAUUAUAAGUCGCGUCAUUUAUUAGGACUGGGCAAGGUAUUUUUUCAGUGAUACGAUGAUACGAAG